rnacentral:rRNA from 1 species
GCGAGCGGCGGAUGGGUGAGUAACACGUGGGGAACCUGCCCCUAAGUCUGGGAUACCAUUUGGAAACAGGUGCUAAUACCGGAUAAUAAAGCAGAUCGCAUGAUCAGCUUUUGAAAGGCGGCGUAAGCUGUCGCUAAGGGAUGGCCCCGCGGUGCAUUAGCUAGUUGGUAAGGCAACGGCUUACCAAGGCGACGAUGCAUAGCCGAGUUGAGAGACUGAUCGGCCACAUUGGGACUGAGACACGGCCCAAACUCCUACGGGAGGCAGCAGUAGGGAAUCUUCCACAAUGGACGCAAGUCUGAUGGAGCAACGCCGCGUGAGUGAAGAAGGUUUUCGGAUCGUAAAGCUCUGUUGUUGGUGAAGAAGGAUAGAGGUAGUAACUGGCCUUUAUUUGACGGUAAUCAACCAGAAAGUCACGGCUAACUACGUGCCAGCAGCCGCGGUAAUACGUAGGUGGCAAGCGUUGUCCGGAUUUAUUGGGCGUAAAGCGAGCGCAGGCGGAAAAAUAAGUCUAAUGUGAAAGCCCUCGGCUUAACCGAGGAACUGCAUCGGAAACUGUUUUUCUUGAGUGCAGAAGAGGAGAGUGGAACUCCAUGUGUAGCGGUGGAAUGCGUAGAUAUAUGGAAGAACACCAGUGGCGAAGGCGGCUCUCUGGUCUGCAACUGACGCUGAGGCUCGAAAGCAUGGGUAGCGAACAGGAUUAGAUACCCUGGUAGUCCAUGCCCGUAAACGAUGAGUGCUAAGUGUU